CGCAGAAAAUGACAAAUGCAUUAUAAUUAGCUCCCUAAAAUAAGAUCACUUGACUAUGUUGCAAUCAAGAGGGAACAGAAAUAGAAACCAGAAGACUCGCUAUAAGGCAAGAAGUGUUUUCUGGAAUUUUACUUAAUGAAUACUGACUGGCUGCUUAAAAAGAAAAUUAUUUAGAAAGAAGAAUAUUUCUUCUGUUUUGAAAUGGUGCCUUUUUUGACCUCCACAUGUUCAGAUGUCUGCAUGCCUUGAGUAACUCCGCCAGUUGGUUCUGCUUUCUUAUCUAAAACGUCCUUCAGGAUCAAUGAUAUGGGACAGACUCACCUGCUGCUGUUACAGAUUAUACAAAUAUAAAAUGCAUCAAAUGAUCAGCUGCAAAAGGAACAAUCAGUGAGGGGAGAAAAUGAUUGUUCACUGAGGCACCAGCAUUCUAACUUGACAAGAAGACAGAACAACCUGGAAGCUCAAAGGAUGCAUACUUUGCCGAGAAAUGUUGUCUGCAACACUCGUGUUGUCUUCAGAUAUAUUAUCGCUCACAUCACUGAUGUAAGACUCAUCAUCUGAAGCCUAAAAAAGGGGAAAAACACAGAAAGGAUCAGAAUUCUUGUUUGGUCUUGAAAGGCCAGAAAAUCAAAUGAUUAAAAGUAAAAUGUUGCCCAAAUAAGCAAAAGCACAGGUCAUAGGGGGAAAUGUAUUUGGUAUAUGUCAUGGGAACACUUGUAGUUCCCUGCCUUAGUUGGGGUGGGAGGUCGGGGGAGGCCAGUACAUAAUCAGAAAUAUUUCAGUGCAAUACAGUAAUAAGGUACCAAAAAAGGAGCUUUAUACUCCCCCUAGAAGAUUCAGGAGAGGAAAUAAAAUUGGCACUGGGUGUUGGAGAGGUUUUUAGAAGGGGUUCAUAAGCACAGGAAUAGGAAGAGUGUAUAAAGGGGAAGGGAAACACAAGAGGAACAUUCCAUUCUAGGAACGCUCAGAAGUUGAGUGGCUGUGACAGAGGGUGGGGUGAAUAGGAAGAGGGUCCGACUGUGAAGGGCUUCGUGUCAACAUAAAGGGUUCCCAUAAAAUCCCACAGGUUAUUACAUGCAGGGGGAUGAUAGAGUCAUAUUUAGUUUACAGGAAGACACCUGGCAACUUUCCUCUGGGAGCUCAGAUAACAGGAUACUAUAUAGAUCUGGGGGAAUACUGACGGGUUAGGAUGGCCACGAUGGGGAUCUGGAAGGAAAGCUGCUUUGAGAUCCAGGUUUGAAGAUAAUGGACAAAAUGUGGCAGAUUAUUUGGGGGUGGGCGAGGAAGAUCCACGGACAGGGGAAAUCAAGAAUUAAGCCACUCUCUCCCAGAGAACAACAUGGAACAAAAAUGAAACCAAAAUUUGCCUGAGAAUGAAAUGAAGGGGCAACAUACGUACUAAGGGGAGGAGUUAGACAUGGAUGAGAUAAGAAAAUAGAGUCCCGUAGAGCCAGCCAGAGAAAUGGGAACAACCAAUGUCUCUACUACAGGCAAGAAACCUGCUGGUACUCAUUUACUGUCUUCAAAAUGAAAUAAUGUUACAUUUUUUCUGCACAUAAAAUGUUCUUGCUGUAAAAAACUGGAAAUUAUAUGAGGGUAAACAGAUUAUAGAAAAAUUAACCAUAAUUCCGUCACCUAAUGGAAACUACUUCUAACAUUUGGUGGAUGUUACCCCCAAUUUCAAAAUGGCUAGACAAACAUACUGAUAUAUAUAGAUAUCUUUAGAUCCUGAAAGGGGGUCAGUUUACAUCCUGUUUCAUAGUGUUCUGGAUAUAUUUCCAUUAAAAUAAAUAUAGCUCUCAUCUUU